UUGCUUUGGUAGCAUAUAUACUAAAAUUGGAACAACACAGAGAAGAUUAGCAUGGUCCUUGAGUAAGGAUGAUAUACAAAUUCAUGAAUUCCAUAUUUCUUCU
rfam:Mus musculus chromosome 6, GRC primary reference assembly.